rnacentral:rRNA from 1 species
ACUGCUCAGUAACACGUAGUCAACAUGCCCAGGGGACGUGGAUAACCUCGGGAAACUGAGGAUAAACCGCGAUAAGUCACUACUUCUGGAAUGGGUAAUGACUCAAAUCUAUAUGGCCUCUGGAUUGGACUGCGGCCGAUCAGGCUGUUGGUGAGGUAAUGGCCCACCAAACCUGUAACCGGUACGGGCUCUGAGAGGAGGAGCCCGGAGAUGGGCACUGAGACAAGGGCCCAGGCCCUAUGGGGCGCAGCAGGCGCGAAACCUCUGCAAUAGGCGAAAGCUUGACAGGGUUACUCUGAGUGAUUUCCGUUAAGGAAAUCUUUUGGCACCUCUAAAAAUGGUGCAGAAUAAGGGGUGGGCAAGUCUGGUGUCAGCCGCCGCGGUAAUACCAGCACCCCGAGUGGUCGGGACGUUUAUUGGGCCUAAAGCAUCCGUAGCCGGUUCUACAAGUCUUCCGUUAAAUCCAACUGCUUAACAGAUGGGCUGCGGAAGAUACUAUAGAGCUAGGAGGCGGGAGAGGCAAGCGGUACUCGAUGGGUAGGGGUAAAAUCCGUUGAUCCAUUGAAGACCACCAGUGGCGAAGGCGGCUUGCCAGAACGCGCUCGACGGUGAGGGAUGAAAGCUGGGGGAGCAAACCGGAUUAGAUACCCGGGUAGUCCCAGCUGUAAACGAUGCAGACUCGGUGAUGAGUUGGCUAUAUGCCUUCUCAGUGCCGCAGGGAAGCCGUUAAGUUUGCCGCCUGGGGAGUACGGUCGCAAGACUGAAACUUAAAGGAAUUGGCGGGGGAGCAC